UGGGGAAUAUUGGGCAAUGGGCGAAAGCCUGACCCAGCAACGCCGCGUGGAGGAAGAAGGUUUUCGGAUCGUAAACUCCUGUCCUAAGAGACGAGGAAGAGACGGUAUCUUAGGAGGAAGCCCCGGCGUAACACUACGUGCCAGCAGCCGCGGUAAUACGUAGGGGCGAAGCGUUGUCCGGAAUGAUUGGGCGUAAAGGGCGCGUAGGCGGCUCGGUAAGUCUGGAGUGAAAGUCCUGGCUUUAAGUUGAGAAUUGCUUUGGAUACUGUCGGGCUUGAGUGCAGGAGAGGUUAGUGGAAUUCCCAGUGUAGCGGUGAAAUGCGUAGAGAUUGGGAGGAACACCAGUGGCGAAGGCGACUAACUGGACUGUAACUGACGCUGAGGCGCGAAAGUGUGGGGAGCAAACAGGAUUAGAUACC
rnacentral:rRNA from 1 species